UUGAAUUUUAAUGAAGAGUUUGGUUGUAGCUGGCCCAUUCAUUUGGGCAUGUGCACACCUUCCUCUUUCAUCCCACACACACCUGUGAACCUGUGAGACAGAGAUGGGGAAUUUACUUGCUGCUUUUUGGAAUACAAAGGCAAUAGGUUAUUGGACCCCCCCUCUGUCUACUCAAUUAAUAUAAACUCAGUUUAUUUUAAAACGAAUGUAAUGGAUGUAACACAUCUCAUAC
rnacentral:misc_RNA from 1 species